GACGAUUCCGAUCCCGAUGAUUCUAGCGAUCUCAAAGGACUCAUGUCGGCGUUGCAGAAAAUCAGAGAGAAGGCGGACGAGGAUGGCCGUAAGAAGAAGGAAGAAAGCAUCUCCAGCAUGUCCAAUGAGGUUAAUUCAAAGAUUGAGGAGCUGAAGUCAAAACUUGAGAAAGAAAGACAAAACUUUACCAAAGCACUUUCAAAGAGUUCAAAGGAGGUCUGAACAAAGAUCCGAAGAUGAUCGGAAUGGUGUCCAUUGGAGAUGUGGUCCGAGCUGUGGUGAGUGAGCAUCGAGAGGAGCUUCAACGCCUUAAUGCGUUUAUUCAGGGAGGUUACUAGAUCUUGAAGAUUGGUAAGACAAGAGUCACCGUUUGUUUCUGGUCUAGUGCGAGUGCCUGCUGAAUCUGAAAAGCUUUUAGAUCAAUGUAUAUAUGCUGUCCUGUUGUUGUUGUUGUUGUGUUCUGUUUGAUGUUUGUUGUUUCGUUGUUUAACUUUCAGUUAUAUUAGAAUCCUUCAUUAACUUAAAAUACAAACAAGAAAUCCAAGUCCAAUAUAUAAAACGGACAGAUUUUCUAAUAAUUGUAAUCGGUCAAAAAU